AUGAUGGAAGACAUCCUUUAUUGCAAGGAUUUGUAUGAGCCAAUUGUGAAAGACAAGAUACCCACCGGUGUCACGGAAGAAGAAUGGAGAGUGUUGCACAGAAAGGCAGUAGGUAUGAUUCGGUUGUAUAUCAACCACAAUAUUUUUCACCAUGUUGCAAACGACACAAAUGCUUAUGAGAUGUGGCAGAAGUUGGAGUCUAUGUAUGAGAGGAAGACAUCAAUGAACAAUGUCUCGGUGAUCAAAAGACUUGCAAAGCUUGAGUACCGAGAUGGCACAAAUAUGAUUGAGCAUUUGAAUGUCUUCCUGUGA
rnacentral:rRNA from 1 species